AACAGAGCAGGCAGACUAAAACUUUGUUAUCGAGGGCAGAGCGAAACCGGAAGGUUUACUGAGCUGUGGCUUCACGUAAACGCUGAGCAUACACUCGACGGCGGUUUUUUAUAUGGGACGAAUCCAAGGAACAGGUCAGCGAAACCAGAACCCAGAGCGUUCCAGUGUUCACUGGAUGGCGAGCCAACCCAAGAUCCUAGGAGGCGAUAUACAUACACACGCACACUCAUUUGCACAUUAAUGGACUACAAUCCUCUACUGUACAAGUAGUACGGUAGGAUAGACAAUCACACACACACACUCCUCAUUGGACGAACUGUUGCAAUACACCCAUUUGUCAUGGGCCCCACCGGUACCAUUUGGACUUAAAAAAGACUAAUACUUGUGCACAAUUUUAUUUUAUUUUAUUCUAUUUUUUUGCUAC